rnacentral:tRNA from 1 species
GUGGUUGUGGCUCAGUGGUAGAGUGUUCGCCUGGCACAUGGGAGGCCCUGGGUUCAAUCUUCAGCACCACA